CGUUCUCUGGUGUAUCCAGCUGUUGUGAUUGCCGUCAAGGCAUGCUGUCUGAAUACCGUGGCUGAGUGCUGGGGUGAAUUCCCCGGGGUGAAGCGGGGAUCUGCUGGAGCCCUGCUGGGCAUAGGAUCACAGGCUCGCUCUGGGUGUGUGUGGGUGUGUGUGAGCCGUAUUCUUGUGGCUCACACCCUCCAGUUGCCAGUUAACAGCCCGGCAUAAUCGGACUGCCACCAUCACUUCAAGCUGAGCUGCUGUUUUGGUUCUCUUUAAUAUUUGUUUGGUGAACUGUUUAUGUUUUUUUCAUUCAGUUGUUUGCGGCGGCUUGGAGCGGACUUCUCAGCCCAGCAGGGCUGAGUGCCGUCUGCGUCCACUCCGUGCAGAGGCUGGUUGUGUUGCUGCUGUGUCAGAACUUGUACAGCUGCAAGGGCUACUUCAGUUGAUGGUGUUUUGUUUUCUUUGUUAU